rnacentral:rRNA from 1 species
GACGAACGCUGGCGGCGUGCUUAACACAUGCAAGUCGAACGGUGAAGCGCCUUCCUUUUUGGUGGGUGUGGAUGAGUGGCGAACGGGUGAGUAACACGUGAGUAACCUGCCCCCUUCUUCUGGAUAACCGCAUGAAAGUGUGGCUAAUACGGGAUAUUCUGGGUCUGUCGCAUGAUGGGUCUGGGAAAGAUAUUGUUUCGGUGGGGGAUGGGCUCGCGGCCUAUCAGCUUGUUGGUGGGGUGAUGGCCUACCAAGGCGGUGACGGGUAGCCGGCCUGAGAGGGUGGACGGUCACACUGGGACUGAGACACGGCCCAGACUCCUACGGGAGGCAGCAGUGGGGAAUAUUGCACAAUGGGCGCAAGCCUGAUGCAGCGACGCCGCGUGAGGGAUGGAGGCCUGCGGGUUGUGGACCUCUUUCGCCAGUGAAGCAGGCCUGCCUCGUUUGUGGGUGGGUUGACGGUAGCUGGAGAAGAAGCGCCGGCUAACUACGUG